CGGAAACAAGCAGUUUGCAAUCUUAAGGCUCUUUGCAGAUAGAACACUCCUUUAGAGGGCCAGUCAGUAAUCAAAGGUGUGCCCUUUACUACGUGUAAUAUCUCAGUCAUGUUAUUGUGUCUAAGAAAUAGUAAGAUACUCUCGGCAUGUUUUGAAGGAAUUUGAAGGAAAUGGAAUGGGACAUUCUUAUAUCUUUCCACUCAAUUAUACUUGAAUGAUUUUCUUCCUUUCAUCUCUUCAUAAUUCAUAAUUUAACCAAGUGACAAAGUGGUUGCUGCGCUUUUUAGCCUUGCAUUUCAUAGACUAAUCAGACAAAUUACUUUUGUUUAGAUGGCUUUCAUUUGGAAAACUGGUGGUACUAGGCAUAAACAUUAUGAGGUACAUGUGGUUAAUUUUUAUCUAGUAAGUUGAGCGUGGGUGGCCAUUUACUUGAAGAAAUUGAAUACUGCCAUUCUCUUUGAAAUUCCUGGCUAGCCAUUGUAGGAAAGUCGUGCAUGAAGCUAAAGCAACUCACCUGGAUUCUGUGAAUGGAAGGAUGACUCUUGAACUUGGAACAAUAACGAAUCAUUUUUGGUACAUCGAGAUUAAUGUAUCACCCUUAAUGGUGCAAAAAAUAUGCACAUCCUUUUUUGUGCAGACA